CGGUAGAGAGAAGCUUGCUUCUCUUGAGAGCGGCGGACGGGUGAGUAAUGCCUAGGAAUCUGCCUGGUAGUGGGGGAUAACGUUCGGAAACGGACGCUAAUACCGCAUACGUCCUACGGGAGAAAGCAGGGGACCUUCGGGCCUUGCGCUAUCAGAUGAGCCUAGGUCGGAUUAGCUAGUUGGUGAGGUAAUGGCUCACCAAGGCGACGAUCCGUAACUGGUCUGAGAGGAUGAUCAGUCACACUGGAACUGAGACACGGUCCAGACUCCUACGGGAGGCAGCAGUGGGGAAUAUUGGACAAUGGGCGAAAGCCUGAUCCAGCCAUGCCGCGUGUGUGAAGAAGGUCUUCGGAUUGUAAAGCACUUUAAGUUGGGAGGAAGGGCAGUUACCUAAUACGUAAUUGUUUUGACGUUACCGACAGAAUAAGCACCGGCUAACUCUGUGCCAGCAGCCGCGGUAAUACAGAGGGUGCAAGCGUUAAUCGGAAUUACUGGGCGUAAAGCGCGCGUAGGUGGUUAGUUAAGUUGGAUGUGAAAUCCCCGGGCUCAACCUGGGAACUG
rnacentral:rRNA from 1 species